rnacentral:rRNA from 1 species
UACGAAGGGGGCUAGCGUUGCUCGGAAUCACUGGGCGUAAAGGGCGCGUAGGCGGCCUGGCAAGUGGAAGGUGAAAUCCCUCGGCUUAACCGAGGAACUGCCUUCCAAACUGCUUGGCUUGAGUCCGGGAGAGGUGAGUGGAAUUCCCAGUGUAGCGGUGAAAUGCGUAGAUAUUGGGAAGAACACCGGUGGCGAAGGCGGCUCACUGGCUCGUAACUGACGCUCAUGCACGACAGCGUGGGGAUCAAACAGG